GACGAACGCUGGCGGCGCGCUUAACACAUGCAAGUCGAACGGAAAGGCCUGCUUUCCCUUGUGGAUUGCGGGUACUCGAGUGGCGAACGGGUGAGUAACACGUGAGUGAUCUGCCCCCAACUUGGGUAUAAGCCUGGGAAACUGGGUCUAAUUCCCGAUAGGACUGCAGGGUGGUGCCUGUGGUGGAAAACGAUUUUCUAGUGGUUGGGGAUGAGCUCGCGGCCUAUCAGCUUGUUGGUGGGGUAAUGGCCUACCAAGGCGGCGACGGGUAGCCGGCCUGGGAGGGUGGACGGCCACAUUGGGACUGAGAUACGGCCCAGACUCCUACGGGAGGCAGCAGUGGGGAAUAUUGCACAAGGGGCGGAAGCCUGAUGCAGCGACGCCGCGGGGGGGAUGACGGCCUUCGGGUUGUAAACUCCUUUCGACCGCGAGGAAGCCACCUGGUUGGAAGGGUGGUGACGGUAGUGGUAGAAGAAGCACCGGCUAACUACGUG
rnacentral:rRNA from 1 species